UACGUAGGGUGCAAGCGUUGUCCGGAAUUAUUGGGCGUAAAGGGCGCGUAGGCGGCCGAUUAAGUCGGGGGUGAAAGCCUGUGGCUCAACCACAGAAUUGCCUUCGAUACUGGUUGGCUUGAGACCGGAAGAGGACAGCGGAACUGCGAGUGUAGAGGUGAAAUUCGUAGAUAUUCGCAAGAACACCAGUGGCGAAGGCGGCUGUCUGGUCCGGUUCUGACGCUGAGGCGCGAAAGCGUGGGGAGCAAACAGG
rnacentral:rRNA from 1 species